rnacentral:rRNA from 1 species
UACGUAGGGUGCAAGCGUUAAUCGGAAUUACUGGGCGUAAAGCGUGCGCAGGCGGUUCUAUAAGCCAGAUGUGAAAUCCCCGGGCUCAACCUGGGAACUGCAUUUGUGACUGUAGAGCUGGAGUACGGUAGAGGGGGAUGGAAUUCCGCGUGUAGCAGUGAAAUGCGUAGAUAUGCGGAGGAACACCGAUGGCGAAGGCAAUCCCCUGGACCUGUACUGACGCUCAUGCACGAAAGCGUGGGGAGCAAACAGG